UACAGAGAGUGCAAGCGUUAAUCGGAAUUACUGGGCGUAAAGCGUGCGUAGUCGGUUAUCUAAGUCGGGUGUGAAAUCCCCGGGCUCAACCUGGGAAUUGCAUUCGAUACUGGAUAGCUAGAGUUCGGCAGAGGGAAGCGGAAUUUCGGGUGUAGCGGUGAAAUGCGUAGAUAUCCGAAGGAACAUCAGUGGCGAAAGCGGCUUCCUGGACCAGAACUGACGAUCAGGCACGAAAGCGUGGGGAGCAAACAGG
rnacentral:rRNA from 1 species